GAUGAACGCUGGCGGCGUGCCUAAUACAUGCAAGUCGAGCGAAUGGAUUAAGAGCUUGCUCUUAUGAAGUUAGCGGCGGACGGGUGAGUAACACGUGGGUAACCUGCCCAUAAGACUGGGAUAACUCCGGGAAACCGGGGCUAAUACCGGAUAACAUUUUGAACCGCAUGGUUCGAAAUUGAAAGGCGUCUUCGGCUGUCACUUAUGGAUGGACCCGGGUCGCAUUAGCUAGUUGGUGAGGUAACGGCUCAACAAGGCAACGAUGCGUAGCCGACCUGAGAGGGUGAUCGGCCACACUGGGACUGAGACACGGCCCAGACUCCUACGGGAGGCAGCAGUAGGGAAUCUUCCGCAAUGGACGAAAGUCUGACGGAGCAACGCCGCGUGAGUGAUGAAGGCUUUCGGGUCGUAAAACUCUGUUGUUAGGGAAGAACAAGGGCUAGUUGAAUAAGCUGACACCUUGACGGUACCUAACCAGAAAGCCACGGCUAACUACGUGCCAGCCGCCGCCGUAA
rnacentral:rRNA from 1 species